rnacentral:lncRNA from 1 species
UAGCACAAUCACUUCACUUUCACAACAAGAUGUACUAUAAAGUAUGUUAAUGUAGAAUUCUUAAUAUGUUUUAUGUUUCUGUGUAUGUGUGUUGGGAGGUUUGUUCAGGCCACCAAAAAGGCUAGGACCGCCGCUGCAUUGACCCCACCCAGGAUGAUAAGGACCAGCUUGGUACUAUGACCCAGCCAUUUCCUUUAGCAGCUCCCUUACUGCAGUGCGAUGGUGCAAGAGAGCUGAAAAAGACAACUUAUAAAUUGGUGAGAAGAAUAAAGGGAC